AUGUGGCAAGAACUUCUAAGCCUAAGCCUGGCUAGAAUCACGAAAAAUAGGUUUUUGGCACAACCUAGUCUAAGGAGUAACACAUUUCAGAAGGGAGAUCCUCUAUGAAUUUGGUUGCCUUCAAGUUCCAAUGUUCAAGAUAUUCUCGCUUAGCAAGCAUUUUACCAACUAUAAGAAAGCUUUCUUUUCAGUGAUAUUACUUAUUCUACCAUUAAAUCUAAAUUCUCCGACUUGGAUGCUAUGCCCACGUGGUGAGGUUCCACUUC
rnacentral:lncRNA from 1 species